GACGAACGCUGGCGGCGUGCCUAAUACAUGCAAGUCGAGCGCUGAAGGCUGGUACUUGUACCAACCGGAAGAGCAGCGAACGGGAGAGUAACGCGUGGGGAAUCUGCCUUUGAGCGGGGGACAACAUGUGGAAACGAAUGAUAAUACCGCAUAAAAACUUUAAACACAAGUUUUAAGUUUGAAAUAUGCAAUUGCAUCAUUCAAAGAUGAUCCCGCGUUGUAUUAGUGAGUUGGUGAGGUAUAAGCUCACCAAGGCGGUGAUACAUAGCCGACCUGAGAGGGCGAGCAGCCAGAGUGGGACUGUGACAGGGCACAAACGCCUACGGGUAGCAGCAGUAGGGAAUCUGCGGGAAUGGGCGAGAGUCUGACCGAGCUGCGCCGCGGGAGUGAGGAAGGUUUUCGGGUCGUAGAUCUCUGUUGGUAGAGAAGAACGUUGGUGAGAGUGUGAAGCUGAGCGAGUGACGGUAAUUACUCAGAAAGCAACGGCUAACUACGUG
rnacentral:rRNA from 1 species